AAUAAUUUAGCUUAAAAUAGAGUUUUUCUUUGAAGAAGAAAAGGUGAUUAAAUCAGUUAUUA
rnacentral:tRNA from 1 species